rnacentral:rRNA from 1 species
UACGAAGGUCCCAAGCGUUGUUCGGAAUCACUGGGCGUAAAGGGAGCGUAGGCAGCGUGGUAAGUCAGAUGUGAAAUCCCGGGGCUCAACCCCGGAACUGCAUCCGAUACUGCCAUGCUAGAGGAUUGGAGAGGUAGCUGGAAUUCUUGGUGUAGCAGUGAAAUGCGUAGAGAUCAAGAGGAACACUCGUGGCGAAAGCGAGCUACUGGACAAUUCCUGACGCUGAGGCUCGAAGGCUAGGGUAGCGAAAGGG